UUGCCAUGUUGGCCAGGCUGGUCUCGAACUCCUGACCUCAGGUGAUCCACCCACCUUGGCCUCCCAAAGUGCUGGGAUUACAGGUGUGAGCCACUGCACCCAGCCUGUUGUUUUUAUAUAUUUUUUAUUUUAUAUUUUUCAGACUGCUCAGCCUCUUGAGUAGCUAGGAUUAUAGGUGCCCACCACCAUGCCUGGCCAAUUUUUGUAGUUUUACUAGAGAUGGGGUUUCACCAUGUUGGCCAGGCUGAUCUCGAACUCUUGGCCUCAAGUGAUUCGCCCACCUUGGCCUCCCAAAGUGCUGUGAUUACAGGUGUGAGCCACCAUGCCCAGCCAAGGUGCCACACUUUUAAACAGCCAGGUCUUGAGAGAAGUCACUUGCUAUCAUGAGGACAGCACCAAGGGAUGGUACUAAACCAUUCAUAAGAAAUCAACCCCCAUGAUCCAAUCACCUCCCUCCAGGCACCACCCCCAAUACUGGGAAUUACAAUUCAACAUGAGAUUUGGGCAGAGACACACGUUCAAACUAUAUCAGGGAUUAAAUCAUAUUAUCUUUGUAGUGGAGA
rnacentral:lncRNA from 10 species